UUUUUUAAUUUUUUUUCCUUUUUUCUUUUUUUUCUUUUUGUUUUUGUUGUUUU
rnacentral:ribozyme from 12 species